rnacentral:rRNA from 1 species
CGAGCCGCGCGUGUGGCAUAUCAAUAAGCGGAGGAAAAGAAACUAACAAGGAUUCCCCUAGUAACGGCGAGUGAAGCGGGAAGAGCUCAAAUUUGAAAUCUUAAAGGGUUUCCCUUUACGAAUUGUAGUUUAAAGAAGUGUUUUCUGUUGGAGUUUCGGUAAAAGUUCUUUGGAAUAGGACAUCAUAGAGGGUGAGAAUCCCGUAUUUGACCGUUACUUUCCAGCUGUGUGAUACACUUUCAAAGAGUCGGAUUGUUUGGGAAUGCAGUCCAAAAUGGGUGGUAAAUUUCAUCUAAAGCUAAAUAUUGGCGAGAGACCGAUAGCGAACAAGUACCGUGAGGGAAAGAUGAAAAGAACUUUGAAAAGAGAGUUAAACAGUACGUGAAAUUGUCAAAAGGGAAGCGUUUGACACCAGUGUUGUUUAGUUGAAAAUCAAUUAAAUAUUUUUCGAUUUUAAGUAGUAUUGACCUUAUCAGCUUGCUGCUUUUUUCUCGGAAAUUAUUUAAUGCACUUUUCAGUUAACAAGUCAACAUCAAUUUCUUUUGUUGUAAAAAGGUAAGAGGAAGGUGGCUUGCGCUUCGGCUCAAGUGUUUAUAGCCUUUUACCCCUGCAAUCGGAGAGAUCGAGGUCUGCAGCGUAGAUCCUUCGGGGUUAGAUACAUUUGUGCUAAGUUAUAGCUUUUCAUAGACAACAUGUUGACUAUGUUUAAGUCCUGUAGCUUACUCGCGACGUGCUAUUUUACCUACGCUUAGGAUGUUGAACUCUAUCACACACAG